rnacentral:rRNA from 1 species
UACGAAGGGGGCUAGCGUUGCUCGGAAUCACUGGGCGUAAAGGGUGCGUAGGCGGGUCUUUAAGUCAGAGGUGAAAUCCUGGAGCUCAACUCCAGAACUGCCUUUGAUACUGAGGAUCUUGAGUUCGGGAGAGGUGAGUGGAACUGCGAGUGUAGAGGUGAAAUUCGUAGAUAUUCGCAAGAACACCGGUGGCGAAGGCGGGUCUCUGGCCCGGUACUGACGCUGAGGUGCGAAAGCGUGGGGAGCAAACAGG